rnacentral:rRNA from 1 species
UGCGCAGGCGGAUUAAUAAGUCGGGGGUUAAAUCCAUGUGCUUAACACAUGCACGGCUUCCGAUACUGUUGAUCUAGAGUCUCGAAGAGGAAGGUGGAAUUUCCGGUGUAACGGUGAAAUGUGUAGAUAUCGGAAAGAACACCAGUGGCGAAGGCAGCCUUCUGGUCGAGUACUGACGCUCAUGCACGAAAGCGUGGGGAGCAAACA